UCCAUGCCGACUGCCAGAGUUCUCCCCAGUCAAGUGCAGAGGACACAAGCCCCUCUAACGGUGAUGUAUACUUAAGCUGAUAUAUCCGGAUGCUAAGCUGUUUUGAAGUGAAUGCAUGCAACUGCUUAAUGAAAAUUAAGCUUACUCUGUAUUGGGUCCCCUUGUGGACAAUAAAUUGUGGUGUAAAUUCUUAUCUGCAACUUGGUCUCUGUGUGGUUUCUUUUUCCUAUAGCCCAAGACACUCAUCUCGAAC